rnacentral:rRNA from 1 species
CAGCAAUGCGCGUGAGUGAAGAAGGCUUCGGGUUGUAAAGCUCUUUUGUCAGGGAAGAAACGGUGAGAGCUAAUAUCUCUUGCUAAUGACGGUACCUGAAGAAUAAGCACCGGCUAACUACGUGCCAGCAGCCGCGGUAAUACGUAGGGUGCAAGCGUUAAUCGGAAUUACUGGGCGUAAAGCGUGCGCAGGCGGUUUUGUAAGUCUGAUGUGAAAUCCCCGGGCUCAACCUGGGAAUUGCAUUGGAGACUGCAAGGCUAGAAUCUGGCAGAGGGGGGUAGAAUUCCACGUGUAGCAGUGAAAUGCGUAGAUAUGUGGAGGAACACCGAUGGCGAAGGCAGCCCCCUGGGUCAAAGAUUGACGCUCAUGCACGAAAGCGUGGGGAGCAAACAGGAUUAGAUACCCUGGUAGUCCACGCCCUAACGAUGUCUACUAUUGUCGGUCUUAAUUGACUUGGUA